rnacentral:sRNA from 1 species
AGUUGAUGGUGAUGGUGAGAUGUGGUUUGGCAGCUGGUACAUGGUGUUUUAGUGGAUGAAAAAAAUCUUGUAUUUUCGCUAACUCCAUGCGUAGCAGACUAUGCAAGAUGAGGUGGUUAGGUCUUUUCCAUUGUUUGAUCCCACAAGUUUUCUCACCAAAAAGGAACAGAAAUUUUGAAGUGCUUGAACAAUCACCAGAAGUUGAAUCUGAACACCGAAGAUGUGUCCUAGAUGUGUCUGGUUCAACCCGCUUGUAAAUCUUGAAGAGGAUUUGAUUUUACAUUUGUGCUUCAUCACGCGUACUGUCUCGAAGGGUCCCUGGAAUAUUCUACACUUUUGGAUCAGCCUUUGCAGUUUAGCAUCUCAUUCAAGCUCAGGUGAGAUCAAAACUGGGAUCCGCCCCUAUUUAAGGCCUGCGGCCUUUAUUAUUGAAUCAGAUCACUGUCCCAGCUUGGAUGAUUAUGUAUGAAACCAGGUGGUUUGGGAGUUGGGAUGUCAAACGCCCUUUUGAGUUAACCAAAACCUAGCAUAGUCUAUAUGCAUGCAUUAAUUUUACUUGGAUUUUAUGUAGAUUCUAAAAACCGAGACUUUCUUCAAUACUACUACGUAGCGUUGAAUGAUACGGGAAUGAAUUUUGCUGAGGUUGAAAUAGAGUUGAAAAUAG